GGCUCGAUGAAGUGCUUACUGCAUUUUUUCUUACACAUGUGUUUUUCUUUUUUUGAAAACUUUGCUUUGGUAGGCCUUCUAUAUGGGGCCUGCCAGAGAUUAAACUCAACCAAAUUUUAUUUAAUGUCAACCGAUUAUUUAAUAGUCAAAACUUUCAACAACGGAUCUCUUGGUUCUCGCAUCGAUGAAGAACGCAGCGAAAUGCGAUAAGUAAUAUGAAUUGCAGAUAUUCGUGAAUCACGAAUCUUUGAACGCACAUUGCGCCCUUUGGUAUUCCAAAGGGCAUGCCUGUUUGAGCGUCAUUUCUCCCUCAAACCCUCGGGUUUGGUGUUGAGCGAUACGCUGGGUUUGCUUGAAAGAAAGGCGGAGUAUAAACUAAUGGAUAGGUUUUUUCCACUCAUUGGUACAAACUCCAAAACUUCUUCCAAAUUCGACCUCAAAUCAGGUAGGACUACCCGCUGAACUUAAGCAUAUCAAAAGGCGGGAGG
rnacentral:rRNA from 1 species